GAGAUGGAUUGGUGCCUUCGGGAACUGUGAGACAGGUGCUGCAUGGCUGUCGUCAGCUCGUGUUGUGAAAUGUUGGGUUAAGUCCCGCAACGAGCGCAACCCUUAUCCUUUGUUGCCAGCGGUUAGGCCGGGAACUCAAAGGAGACUGCCAGUGAUAAACUGGAGGAAGGUGGGGAUGACGUCAAGUCAUCAUGGCCCUUACGACCAGGGCUACACACGUGCUACAAUGGCAUAUACAAAGAGAAGCGACCUCGCGAGAGCAAGCGGACCUCAUAAAGUAUGUCGUAGUCCGGAUUGGAGUCUGCAACUCGACUCCAUGAAGUCGGAAUCGCUAGUAAUCGUAGAUCAGAAUGCUACGGUGAAUACGUUCCCGGGUCUUG
rnacentral:rRNA from 1 species